AAUGGGAGGGGCCGUCCCCGCUUCAGCCAAUGAGAGGCGCGUCCGCGCGGGUCCAUCGCCGGUUCGGGGCUGCGCGAGCUUUAACCGCAGCGCGGAGCCCACGUGCAGUUUCUGCUCGAGGCGACCCUUCCGCUGUUGGAGCCGUACGCGGCAUUUCUCGAGGCGAUUCCCAAAGCGAUUCCCGAGGCGAUUCCCAAAGCGAUUCCCGAGGCGAUUCCUGAGGCAAUCCCUGCAGCGAUCCCCGCGGCGCUGCCGCAGCCGCUCCCGGCGAUCCCCGAGGCCGAGCAGAGCUCAGCCCCGGGCUCAGCCCCAUCAUCCGCACGGGCAGCGGCUCCCACAGCUCCAGCGGGAUGUGGUGCGGCACAGCCGCUAUACGAGGAUCCAAAAUGCAGAGGACCCAAAGGAUCGUUGGGCCAGUUCGCUACAUUCCCAGCCGGAGAGCUCUGGACAUGGAUGUGGCCAAGUUCCAGAAGGACACUGCUGUGGUGUCACCUACCGUGAAGGAGCGCCAGAGACCCUGGGCAGCGAGUCUGAAUGCCUUUGAUCUGGAAAAGAUCCUGGAAGAGGUUCUCCGCCUCAGUGGAAAGGCUCAGACCACUGCAGCAGGCUAUCAGUACAACCUCAAAGCGCUCUACGGGCACGAGGUGAUGCCUGGGUUCGGCAGGAGAAAGGGCAGAUACAUUUCUUCUGCACCAGACCGAGUCCUGAGUGCCCCAGACAUCCACGAUGACUAUUACCUGACUCUCCUUGACUGGAGCACUCAAAACCUCCUGGCGCUGGCUCUGGACACCACUGUCUACCUGUGGCACCACAUCUCUAGGGAGACCGUAAACCUCAUGGAGAUAGAGCACGUAGCUGAUUAUGUUUCCUCUGUGUCCUGGGGUAACGGAGGAGACUGCCUUGCUGUUGGUGUGAGCAACGGUGAGGUGCAGCUGUGGGACGUCGAGCAUCAGAAAUGUCUCCGCAGUCUGACCAGCCACGUGUCCCGUGUGGGGUGUCUCAGCUGGAACAGCUACAUCCUGUCCAGCGGGUCACACAGUGGCCAAAUCCACCACCACGACAUCCGAGUUGCUCAACAUCACGUGGCCACACUCGCUGGUCAUAAGCAGGAGGUGUGUGGACUGAAGUGGUCUCUGGAUGGCCGCUACCUUGCCAGUGGCGGUGAUGACCACCUGGUGAACAUCUGGCCAAGCAGCCAGGGGGGCCGUGCAGGAUUUGCUCCAGUCCAGACCUUCCGUCAGCACCAGGGUGCUGUCAAGGCUUUGGCGUGGUGUCCGUGGAAGUCCAGCAUUCUGGCCACUGGAGGUGGAGCCACUGACAAAAGCAUCCGCUUCUGGAAUGUGUGUUCUGGCGCCUGCCUCGGCAAUGUUGAUGCCCAUUCCCAGGUCUCUUCCAUCCUAUGGUCAACCAACUACAAGGAGCUCAUUUCAGGCCAUGGCUCUGAAGAGAAUCAGCUGGUGAUCUGGAAGUAUCCAGCCAUGUCCAAGGUCACCGAGCUGCAAGUUUACUGGAAGAGAAGGCCAUGGCUGACAGAAGCAAGCCCAGUGUGGAUGCCGUGGACGAGUCCCGCAGUGUCACACCAGAAUGGUCUCCAAGCCUCGGUCCUCUGCCUUUCUGCCCACCGAAGAGCUCGCAGCGCCCUGCACCCUGCGUGCCAGUCACACAGACAGCCCUGGGGUCACAGCUGGGAUGUCAGCGACUCAGGAGCGAUCACAAGGAAGCGUCUGCAGAACCACCAAGCCCAGAGCCGUGUGGGAGCUGAGAGACCUUCUAGGAAUGGCUGAUGGUGUCACCUGGGGAUACUGCAUGAUGGACUUGUGGUAAAGCUUCUCUAGAGGGCCCUUAAAGACUGGGGAAGCGCUGCUUCUGCAGGGACUUGAGGAGAGCGUUUGAAGCCAUUAAGGUGGCCGUUCUGUCUGCCGCAGCUCUGGGAGUGCCCAAUCUAACAAAACCUUUAGAGCUGUUUGUGCAGGAAAGACAGCAUCAAGCUUUGGGGGUCUUAGCCCAGAGAGCAGGAGAUGGGAAAAGACCGGUGGGGUCCUUUUCUAGGCAGGUGGUUAGUGUGAGUCAGGGGUGGCCCGGGCCUGCGGGCAGUGGCGGCACCAGUGCUCCUGAUUCAAGGAGCUCCAAACAGCUAAGGUAGGAAAUGCAGCUGCCUUUCUAGGGGUAAAGGGAACAGCGGAAUCAUCAAAUGGUGACGGCCUUCAGAAGGUAAAUCUACGGACAGACUCUAAAUAUGCUUCAAGGGCGGUCCAUGCCCAUGGGGCAGUAUGGAAGGAAAGAGGACUGUUAACUGCACAAGGAUCCCCCAUCAAGAACCAAGAAGAAGUCCUGCAGUUGUGGAAAGACAUCCAGAAACAGAGAGAAGUGGCACUAAUGCAAUGCAAGGCACCUCAGGUGGGAAACUCCCCGAUGAAGGUACGUAAUGGACUGGCCGAGCGAGCAGCUCGAGGCCAGCAGGAAAAGGUAUCUUGGUAUUAAUCCCUUUCAGAGACAGAGAUCUGAAUAUCCGUUGUGGGGACAUGUGAAUCUGUUUGAACAAUAAUCCUGUCCCUCUCAAGCACCCUCCCCUGGGAGUCGCUCGCAGAGGAAAUGCCCCUGGUGAUCCCUGACAGAGAUUUCUCUGAACUGCCCAGACGGGGCAGAUCCCAGGACCUGUUGGGACCAGGAGACACAUUGUCAGGCUGGCCAGAGGCAUUGCCCUGCAGCACCCGUAAAGCAAGAGAGGUGAGUAAAACCUCCUUGAAGGGAAUUAUACCACGGUUUGGAAUUCCCAUAGGUCUGUUCUCAGCUAGAAGUCCUCACUUUAUAGCAGAGAUUGUACAAGAUUUGAGCCAAGUCCUAGGGAGAAAAUGGGCCCUGCACACCCCCUGGGUCCCCCACUAGUGGGAAGGUGGAAAGGAUGAAUCAAACUCUGCAGAGACAAAAGGGUCAAAUUUGUCAGGAGAUAUCUUCGCAAUGGCCCCACGCUCUUGCAUGGGCUUUGCUAAGAACAAGGCUACAGCCAAGAGCUGAGGCUAAGACCAGUCCAUAUGCAUUAAUGUUUGGGAGGCCUUAUCAUCAAAUGACUGUUUUUCCUCAAGACAUAGUGCUAAAAGGAGAAACAGAGCUAAAAUCUUCUCUGCUGUCAUUGGGUAAAACAGUGAAUGACCUGGGGCGGUGUGUAACAUGUCCUGAGCCUCUCGCUUUAGAUUCUCCAGGACACCGUUCCAGCCCAGAGACUACAUCCACCACAAGACGUGGGAGAGCGGAACUUCCAGAAAGCUGGAAGAGACCCUUUCAGGUGCUGAUAGCAACACACACCAUCCUUCAGGCUGAAGAAAUGAACAGGUGGAUACAUUACACGCAAGUCAAGUCAGCGCCGAGUUGGGAGUGGAGAACUGUCCUUGAGCCCAGGAAUCCUCUCCAGAGGAAACUGCAGAGAAGAACCGGAGACUGACAUUUGAAAACCAAGGAGAGGGAGAAGUGGCUGUGGCAGAGAUGCUCUGUGCUGACCAGAGAGGGAGCUUCUUGAAGGAAUCAGCUGGUGGCAGUGAUCAGCCAGUGACAGGUUGUUUAACUGAUGAACAGAUAUUUGAACAGCUCUUUUUUUUUUUUUCUGCUCAACACUCGCUGAGUAAUAAUUUUCUGUUGGGUCUUCCAGGACCGAGUGCUGUAAUUGGCUUCAAGUGUGCAGUCUUCUCCCUCCAGAGAUCAAAGGCACUCCUGUCCCCUCUCUGGAUUGAGAAGACCUGGGAAACCUCUUUGGAUCAGAGCUGCCAAGAAAAGGGAUGGGAUGAGAAGCACUGGUGAUGGAUGCAUCCAAAGCAGUGGGACUGGCGAGGGAGGAGAUUCCGGCCCUCUGCUCCGCUCUGAGGGAGCAGUGGCCGUGGCAGAGAUGUUCUGUGCAUCCAAAGCAGUGGGACUGGCGAGGGAGGAGAUUCCGGCCCUCUGCUCCGCUUUGGAACUGCAGCUGAAGCUUCAGUUUCUUCAACCCGGGAAGAUCUUGAAGAUGAAGAUGUCAACAGCAGUAGGAAACGCGUAGCAGAGGAAGUAACAUUGGAAGGAAAGGAGAACAUUGCUGUUCUGCAGAGAAACAGAGAUCUGUGCUCAGAAUGCGGCAGAGAGAUCUGGAGGUCUUGAAACAAAGCUGGAAGAAGCUUUGCAGGGAAUCGGAGAGCUGGAGCGUGAGCUGGAGAAAGAGGGGAAAGUCAUCCCAGAAGCAACAGCCAAAGAAGGGCAAGAAAAAUGUUUACAACAGAGCACCUCGGAAGUCAAGGCCUGGCCAGUUCAAGGGAUCCAGACAAAGCAAGCAUUAAAGAACAGCAAUGCCCGAAUAUUUUCUUGGUGUCCUUUCAUAACAGUAUUGCAGCCCUGAUCCCCUGCUGUUCAUCCUUACCUGCUACCCCAAUAUCUCCAUGCCAUCUCAGCAUUUACGCUGCUCUUCUAGCUGGCUCUACCACUUCCGCCUCUGUCUUUGCUUGUCCUCGACCUCCUCCCACAGCCCUAAUAUCUUUACACCUUCUCUCCCCUGUAAUACCACUGCUACCCCGGCUUUCCCCUACUCACAGCUCUCUUGCCUGCGUGCCUCCUUCCUUCCCCUCAGCCCCUCAAGGGUUUUUUCCGCAGUGCCAGUGUGGCCUCGUUGCGUAUCUGAUCAUGGGAACCUCCUCUAUCCUCUGGCUUCAGAGGGUCCAGUUCCCAGUGGGCUGGUCAGGAAGAAAUUAUACAGAAAUUGCACAGAAUUGUAUGGGCAAAGUUUUGUUCCCCUUUGAAUCCUUUUCUUUGGAAGGCUUUGUCCUUCUUUCUGAAGGUACGAAGCAGCCUGAAGCUGGGCGUGAUCCUGAAGGCCCUUCUCAAACUGCUACCCCAGGAAAACUGCCUGCAGCCAAGGUCGCAAAAUCAGACCUUGGAUGAUGUCGGUUCACCCUCCUGGGGUGUUGGGAAGGUAUUUAACACCUACUCCAUCUCCCUGUGAUUUCCAUGUCUGGCUCCCCACCCGCAGUAACCCCUACAGCCUCCACUCCUCCUGGUGGCCACCAGGUCUCCACCCUGGGCACUCUGUGUGUGACUGCAUAUUCAUCCACUCCCAGCUCAGAAGAGGAGGCAGGGAAUCUAUUGGGAACGGCGUCUGCUCAGACAGCCCUUGCCCACUCCCCCAGAGUAAAUACUGGUUUGGAAACAUACAUCACAAGUCCUGAAGGUCAUUUUAAAUGAUUUUUCCUUCUGUAAGGUUUUUGAAUGUAAUAUCUCAGCCUCUUGCCUGAGAUUGGGAAACAGGGCCGUCUUCCAGCAGCACAAGAAAUAAGCAGAACCAGCCCUAGAGAAGUAACUGCACAGCUCAUGUUCACCAGUGGAAGGUGACAGAGCUGUUCCUCUUCCCAGAGUUUGUUUUCCAUGAGCGGAUCACUACUGAGAUCCAUUACAGACACACAAGCCAGAGCCACAGCCAUCCCGUCACCCUUUCCUGAGAGGCUGCACUGGUGGGAAGACUGGGCUGGGAGGUCGCACCUGGAGCUCAGAUGCUCGUGUGAGCAGAGAGAAGCUGAUGGGGGGGAUUUUUUCUGCUUCUCAGCCACUUGUGAGGGGUCUGGUUUGCCUGGUAGCCUUGCUAUGAAAAAAAGCCAGCAAACACUUGCAGAGAAAGUAUUAUGGGAGCAUUGGAUGUUGAGAAGGGGAAUCCAGGGAGCUGAGGGGCUGAUUAAAUACAAUGUGAGAGCAGAAGUGGGUUUUCUGUCCUUUGCAGUGCUAUUAAGCCACUUCACACAGGCCUUUGUCACGAGAAGAAUGAACAGCGAAUGUGUACCAGGAGAGCUACGAGCAGGCGUGGAGACAGCACAACGUAUAUGGAAAUGCAGGAGUGAGCGACUGGCUGGGUGAUCCCUGCAGGCAUGUGCCUGAUGGGCAGCUGCUGCCUGGGCCGUUAAGAGAAGGGUUGCAAGGUGUCCCGUGUCUUGGCCUCUACAGGUCACCAGCGCUGGAAUGUCGGGCUGGGAAUGGCUCUGCAGGGAAGGUCUGCUCUGAAGCAAGGAGAGAUGGUGCAUCUAAAGUGAAAGGGCAGGAGUCAAGCUGAUAUCCACCCAAAGGGCACCGGGAUCAGAGAGACCAAGUGCGGUGCUAUUCCCUUCGACAGUGCUCAACCUCUCUCCCAGGGGAAAGGAUUGCAGUGUCUGUAGGGUCCCCGUCAUUUCAAAGAGCUUUGGCUGGAAAGAUCGGAUUAUAGGAGGUUUGAGGACUAUCUCUGUUCCUUCCCUGUGUGUGGAGAUUACCAAGGCGAUUUCAACAGGCCAAAGUAUCCCUAUUCUAGAGGCUCUCAGCUAGGUCUUCCCAGCAGAGCCAGAAUCCCCUGUAUCAGCUCGGUGGGAGCUGUUUCAGCGGGUCACCUCUCACAUUUCAGAUGCCCACCAGCUCAGCUCUUGUCCUGCCACAACCACCAGUGGAAGCGAGCAGCAGCACAGCCCGCCUUUCUUCUAAAGAGC